GACGAACGCUGGCGGCGUGCUUAACACAUGCAAGUCGAACGGAAAGGCCCUGCUUUUGUGGGGUGCUCGAUUGGCGAACGGGUGAGUAACACGUGAGUAACCUGCCCUUGACUUUGUGAUAACUUCAGGAAACUGGGGCUCAUAUCGGAUAGGAUCUCCUGCUGCAUGGUGGGGGUUGGAAAGUUUCGGCUGUUGGGGCUGGACUCGCGGCUUAUCCGCUUGUUGGUGGGGUAGUUGCUUACGAAGGCUUUGACGGGUAGCCGGCCUGAGCGGGGUAACGGCCACAAGGGGACUGAGAGACGGACCAGAAGGGAACGGGAGGCAGCGGGGGAAAAUAUGACGGAGUAGGGGGGAGUGAGAGGCAGAAACGCCGCGAGCGGGAUGACGGCCUUCGAGUUGUAAACAGAUGUGGAAGGUGACGAGGCGUGAGUGACGGUAAUGGGUAAAGAAGCACCGGCUAACUACGUG
rnacentral:rRNA from 1 species